UUACCUACGGGGGGCAGCAGUGAGGAAUAUUGGUCAAUGGCCGAGAGGCUGAACCAGCCAAGUCGCGUGAGGGAUGACGGCCCUACGGGUUGUAAACCUCUUUUGUCGGGGAGCAAGACCCGCCUCGUGCAGGCGGAGCGAGAGUACCCGAAGAAAAAGCAUCGGCUAACUCCGUGCCAGCAGCCGCGGUAAUACGUAGGGUGCAAGCGUUAUCCGGAUUUAUUGGGCGUAAGGGGCUCGUAGGCGGUUCGUCGCGUCCGGUGUGAAAGUCCAUCGCUUAACGGUGGAUCCGCGCCGGGUACGGG
rnacentral:rRNA from 1 species